rnacentral:rRNA from 1 species
UCGCACUAGUAGAGUUUGAUCCUGGCUCAGGUUGAACGCUGGCGGCAUGCCUUACACAUGCAAGUCGAACGGUAACAGGUUAAGCUGACGAGUGGCGAACGGGUGAGUAAUAUAUCGGAACGUGCCCAGUCGUGGGGGAUAACUACUCGAAAGAGUAGCUAAUACCGCAUACGACCUGAGGGUGAAAGCGGGGGAUCGCAAGACCUCGCGCGAUUGGAGCGGCCGAUAUCAGAUUAGGUAGUUGGUGGGGUAAAAGCCUACCAAGCCAACGAUCUGUAGCUGGUCUGAGAGGACGACCAGCCACACUGGACUGAGACACGGCCCAGACUCCUACGGGAGGCAGCAGUGGGGGAAUUUUGGACAAUGGACGCAAGUCUGAUCCAGCCAUGCCGCGUGCGGGAAGAAGGCCUUCGGGUUGUAAACCGCUUUUGUCAGGAAGAAAGGUUCUGGAUAAUACCCGGGACUCAUGACGGUACCUGAAGAAUAAGCACCGGCUAACUACGUGCCAGCAGCCGCGGUAAU